CCCCGAGCAUGGUUGGUAGCCUUGUCGUGGCCUCGGGGCUUACGUGGUCCCUCAUUUUGUCAUUUUGGACCACUACCAAUGACCAA
rnacentral:ribozyme from 1 species